rnacentral:rRNA from 1 species
GAUGAACGCUGGCGGCGUGCCUAAUACAUGCAAGUCGAGCGAACAGACGAGGAGCUUGCUCCUCUGACGUUAGCGGCGGACGGGUGAGUAACACGUGGAUAACCUACCUAUAAGACUUGGAUAACUUCGGGAAACCGGAGCUAAUACCGGAUAAUAUAUUGAACCGCAUGGUUCAAUAGUGAAAGACGGUUUUGCUGUCACUUAUAGAUGGAUCCGCGCCGCAUUAGCUAGUUGGUAAGGUAACGGCUUACCAAGGCAACGAUGCGUAGCCGACCUGAGAGGAUGAUCGGCCACACUGGAACUGAGACACGGUCCAGACUCCUACGGGAGGCAGCAGUAGGGAAUCUUCCGCAAUGGGCGAAAGCCUGACGGAGCAACGCCGCGUGAGUGAUGAAGGUCUUCGGAUCGUAAAACUCUGUUAUUAGGGAAGAACAAAUGUGUAAGUAACUAUGCACGUCUUGACGGUACCUAAUCAGAAAGCCACGGCUAACUACGUG